rnacentral:rRNA from 1 species
UUGAACGCUGGCGGCAUGCGUUACACAUGCAAGUCGAACGGCAGCACGGGAGCAAUCCUGGUGGCGAGUGGCGAACGGGUGAGUAAUAUAUCGGAACGUGCCCAGUCGUGGGGGAUAACGCAGCGAAAGCUGUGCUAAUACCGCAUACGAUCUAUGGAUGAAAGCGGGGGAUCGCAGGACCUCGCGCGAUUGGAGCGGCCGAUAUCAGAUUAGCUAGUUGGCGGGGUGAAAGCCCACCAAGGCGACGAUCUGUAGCUGGUCUGAGAGGACGACCAGCCACACUGGAACUGAGACACGGUCCAGACUCCUACGGGAGGCAGCAGUGGGGAAUUUUGGACAAUGGGCGCAAGCCUGAUCCAGCAAUGCCGCGUGCAGGACGAAGGCCUUCGGGUUGUAAACUGCUUUUGUACGGAACGAAACGGUCUCUCCUAAUACGAGAGGCUAAUGACGGUACCGUAAGAAUAAGCACCGGCUAACUACGUGCCAGCAGCCGCGGUAAUACGUAGGGUGCAAGCGUUAAUCGGAAUUACUGGGCGUAAAGCGUGCGCAGGCGGUUAUAUAAGACAGAUGUGAAAUCCCCGGGCUCAACCUGGGACCUGCAUUUGUGACUGUAUAGCUAGAGUACGGUAGAGGGGGAUGGAAUUCCGCGUGUAGCAGUGAAAUGCGUAGAUAUGCGGAGGAACACCGAUGGCGAAGGCAAUCCCCUGGACCUGUACUGACGCUCAUGCACGAAAGCGUGGGGAGCAAACAGGAUUAGAUACCCUGGUAGUCCACGCCCUAAACGAUGUCAACUGGUUGUUGGGUCUUCAC